rnacentral:rRNA from 1 species
GCAGUGAUGCAGAGCAAAUCCCCAAAAAGCAGUCUUAGUUCGGAUUGUAGGCUGCAACUCGCCUACAUGAAGUCGGAAUUGCUAGUAAUCGCGGAUCAGCAUGCCGCGGUGAAUACGUUCCCGGGCCUUGUACACACCGCCCGUCACACCAUGGGAGUCGGUAACACCCGAAGCCUGUAGUCUAACCGCAAGGAGGACGCAGUCGAAGGUGGGAUUGAUGACUGGGGUGAAGUCGUAACAAGGUAAC